UGCCAAUGAGGAGAAAACAUCCUGUCUUACUCCCCGUUCUUGCCCCAGAGCCAGUAAUGGUGAACCCACUGGGGAAGCUGGGAGAGAGGAUGGAGUACUUGUUCCAUAAAGAACUGUCUGAGGUAC
rnacentral:snoRNA from 1 species